GCUGAUCAGCCUGCCGCGUGAGUGAUGAAGGCCUUCGGGUUGUAAAGCUCUUUUGUCAGGGAAGAAAAUGACCGGACUAAUACCACAAGCGCCGGACGGUUCCUGGCCAGCAACCGCCGGCUAACUACGGGCGACCGCCUUAUUCAAAACGAAGGGGCCUAGCGUGCAUCUAAAUUGCUGGACAAAACACGUGCGCAGGCACUCAUCUCAGACUUGAAAGAACUCCCCUGACUCCACCUGGUGACUGCAAUAGAGACUGCUUGGAUUCCGAGCGGAAAAGGGAAAUUCAAUUCCAUUUGGAGGAAUAACAUGCGUAAAUGUGCGAAACAACACCGAUAGUGAAGGCAAUCCCCUGAACCUUGACUGACACUCAUGAAUAAAUGCCCGGGGAGCACACACGAUUAACUACCCUGGCCGCCCACUCCCUAAACAAUGUCAACUGGUGGCUGGAUUGAUUGCUGCUCUGCCGCCUAGCUAACGCGUGUAACUCACCCCCAGGAGAAGCAUUCACGAGGUUAAAA
rnacentral:rRNA from 1 species